rnacentral:tRNA from 1 species
GCGCCUGUAGCUCAGUGGAUUAGAGCAGGAGUUUCCUAAACUCUUGGUCGGGAGUUCGACUCUCCCCAGGCGCGCCA